GAGGCUAGAGUCACAUCCUGACACAUUUCUUGUCCUGGUGUGCUAGAGUCCUCAGAGAGAAUCUGCUGGUCUUGAUUCACUGGCGAGG
rnacentral:miRNA from 1 species